UCCACCUGGCACUGUAUAGGGAAAAGAAAGCAAAGCAGUUGUAGAACCUACUCACUCGUAGGUGGUUAUUAGGAGUAAAGUAUAGAAUAACCAACCACAAGCCAAAGCCCCAGAGAGAGGUACUCUAUCCAGUAACUAACUAAUGGAAGCAGCGGCAGAGAUCCACAGACAAGCACUGAGCUGAGCUUCAUAGCGAUUGUGCCAGCCAGGAGGUUAAGAUGGGGAAAACCACAGAGACAGCUGACUUGAGCUCAUGGACACUGGAUCAACAAUCAGGAAGCCUGCAUGGGACUGUCCUGACCCUCUGCAUGUUCCUUCUAGAUUGUAACUCUGAUAUCAGCCAUCAUGGGGCAUUUGGCCCUUCUGCUUCUUCUAAUUGCUGCUGAUUCUUGAAUCCAUUAAGCUGAUGGCUACUAGAUUCCAAUAUAAAAAGGUAGAAAUCAGUACAGAAAACAACAAUCAAGCAAAAUGAAGAGUUGAGGAAUCCAGUUCCAGUGACUCAGGGAACAUUGUGGAAGAAGGGGCAGUAAGGGAUUGGCUAAGCAAUUCUUCUGCCUGGAAACGAUGAUGCAAUUGUAUGAACUAGGAGAUUGUCUGGGCAAGAAGGCGGAAGCUGGCCUGAUGCACCUGAUGCAGGUGAUGUUGGUUGUUGGCUAGAGCACUCUGGCGCCCUGCACUGGUCUGACUGUGUCACUUGUUUUAGGACAAUGUCCCAGAAUGGUAAUGACACGGCUGCUGGUUCUCCUGACACAUAAGCUCCAGGACUCGCACAACAUUAAUCAUUCUUGUUUAUGCUUUUGGUAAAAAAAUUACAGUGGUGGCUCAGAUACCAGUGGAUAAAGAAAAUUUCUCCACUUUUUAAAAGGAAGAAUGGCCAACCAUACUAGAAUGGGUAGAUUUUAUGUGAUCUACAGUAUUUAAAGAAAUUGUCUGGGUUCCAACAUUGUGUCCUUAACCUUUGA